CACGUAGGGUGCGAGCGUUGUCCGGAAUUAUUGGGCGGAAAGAGCUCGUAGGCGGUGUGCCGCGUCGGCCGUGAAAACCUGCAGCUUAACUGUGGGCUUGCGGUCGAUACGGGCAUCACUGGAGUUCGGCAGGGGAGACUGGAAUUCCUGGUGUAGCGGUGAAAUGCGCAGAUAUCAGGAGGAACACCGGUGGCGAAGGCGGGUCUCUGGGCCACUACUGACGCUGAGAAGCGAAAGCAUGGGGAGCGAACAGG
rnacentral:rRNA from 1 species